CCUGGUUUCUUUAUAAUGUCAGGUAUAAGGGCCAAAACACUUAUCAGAUGAGAGUUCUUCCUCUGAAGAUCUUUCCUGUUGCGUGCUCACCUUGUGGCGAG